GUCUACCACAGUUGUGUGGACUGUGUUUACAGUCAACGAGAGACCCAUGCAGCUCCAACAAGCAGUCUUGUAAAUAUUUUGGUUCAGACCUACAGACGAAAUAAAGUCUCCCUUGGAGGCUCUGGUCUGUCUGUUGGUGCAAAAUUUUGAUGGAAGAAAAAGACUUGAGAGAAAGCACAAUUUCAGAACAAAAUUUGUAUUAGAAUUUUAUAGCUGCAGCAAAAUACAGAACACUGAACAGUACAAGUCUAAGUGAAACGUAAGCAUCAAAUGAGUGUGCUGAAAGUGGCAUCAGUAUGAAAUUCAUCUUCCCUUUUAUGAUCUGGCUUUCAGAUAUUGCUUCCAGGACACAUGCUGAAGAAUCCCAUCUCUGGUGCAAAUCCUAAAGAUACAUCCUGGACAUAUACACUGUUUCUCUGACAAAAAGUGAAAAUGCAGCCUCUGCUUUACUGGAGUUUGCAUGGUAUAUAUGCCAAAGAGGGUGUGCUCCUGGCUGCUUCU